UACGUAGGGAGCUAGCGUUGUUCGGAAUUACUGGGCGUAAAGCGCACGUAGGCGGCUUGGCAAGUCGGAUGUGAAAGCCCACGGCUCAACCGUGGAAGCGCAUCCGAAACGGCCUCGCUCGAGUCUCGGAGAGGAAGGUGGAAUGCCUGGUGUAGAGGUGAAAUUCGUAGAUAUCAGGCAGAACACCUGUGGCGAAGGCGGCCUUCUGGACGAUGACUGACGCUGAGACGCGAAAGCGUGGGGAGCAAACAGG
rnacentral:rRNA from 1 species